AUGACCUCCACCAUGGUGCCCGCCGAGAUCCUGUUCUCCGUCGACGCACCGUCGUCGCAUGAGGACUUGGAUGCCUGGCUCGCUGACAACCUCCCCCAAAUCCUACAGGAGGUUCAGGUGAAUUUGGGCUUGCCGAAAUAUAGGAGUGUGCUACGUGCCGCAGCAGGUUUGGAUGCGGCAAUAAAGACCAUGGCUCGGCUUGGGGAGCAUCAAGCAUCGACUUAUGUGAAGAGGCCAAGAUUCAAGGAUUUAAAUUGUCAAGAUAUAUGGUUGUUGGGGAUUCAAUAUUGUGCCAUUGUAUUUAAAAUUUUGAAUGAGCUGUCUGCCAUUGUUUAUAUCACAUCUUCCUUUGCUAGACCACAUGAGCUGAUUCCAACUUUGGCCUCAAGUUGCUCCCGUCUAUGA
rnacentral:rRNA from 1 species